GGGUCGUAACAUUUCUGCACCUUUCAAAGAACCCUUGUAAUGCGAAGAUUGCAUCUUACACUUCUAAGGAAUUCGGAAGACUUGAAAAGAAGCUGAAUGAUGAAUGUGAAAAGCUGCACAAGUUUCUGACCAAUGUCCAGAGUAAACUGAGGAAUAACUUGGUAAAGGGAGUGAAAGAGGCUGAGAAGCACUGUUUGACCAAUGGCAGAAAGGUUCUGGAGCCAAAAAAGAAAUGUUACAGGAGCUUCCACAAGACACUCAAGGCCUUGUGUAAAAAC